UACGAAGGGGGCUAGCGUUGUUCGGAAUUACUGGGCGUAAAGCGCACGUAGGCGGGUCUGUAAGUAGAGGGUGAAAUCCCAGGGCUCAACCCUGGAACUGCCUUCUAGACUGCAAGCCUGGAGGUCAGGAGAGGCGAGUGGAAUACCGAGUGUAGAGGUGAAAUUCGUAGAUAUUCGGUGGAACACCAGUGGCGAAGGCGACUCGCUGGACUGAUACUGACGCUGAGGUGCGAAAGCGUGGGGAGCAAACAGG
rnacentral:rRNA from 1 species